UGGUAUGCCUUUUACUUUUACUUGGCCCU
rnacentral:piRNA from 1 species